GGAGAGAUGGCUGAGUGGUUUAAGGCGCACGCCUGGAAAGCGUGAGUAUCUAAACAGUACCGGGGGUUCGAAUCCCCCUCUCUCCGCCA
rnacentral:tRNA from 1 species